AUUGAACGCUGGCGGCAGGCCUAACACAUGCAAGUCGAGCGGAUGAAGGGAGCUUGCUCCUGGAUUCAGCGGCGGACGGGUGAGUAAUGCCUAGGAAUCUGCCUGGUAGUGGGGGAUAACGUCCGGAAACGGGCGCUAAUACCGCAUACGUCCUGAGGGAGAAAGUGGGGGAUCUUCGGACCUCACGCUAUCAGAUGAGCCUAGGUCGGAUUAGCUAGUUGGUGGGGUAAAGGCCUACCAAGGCGACGAUCCGUAACUGGUCUGAGAGGAUGAUCAGUCACACUGGAACUGAGACACGGUCCAGACUCCUACGGGAGGCAGCAGUGGGGAAUAUUGGACAAUGGGCGAAAGCCUGAUCCAGCCAUGCCGCGUGUGUGAAGAAGGUCUUCGGAUUGUAAAGCACUUUAAGUUGGGAGGAAGGGCGGUAAGUUAAUACCUUGCUGUUUUGACGUUACCAACAGAAUAAGCACCGACUAACUUCGUG
rnacentral:rRNA from 1 species